UACGAAGGGGGCUAGCGUUGUUCGGAAUUACUGGGCGUAAAGCGCACGUAGGCGGGUUGUUACGUCAGGGGUGAAAUCCUGGAGCUCAACUCCAGAACUGCCUUUGAUACUGGGUAUCUCGAGUCCGGAAGAGGUGAGUGGAAUUCCGAGUGUAGAGGUGAAAUUCGUAGAUAUUCGGAGGAACACCAGUGGCGAAGGCGGCUCACUGGUCCGGUACUGACGCUGAGGUGCGAAAGCGUGGGGAGCAAACAGG
rnacentral:rRNA from 1 species